AUGAAACGGAGGAAGAAGGGAAAGAACUUUGCAUGUGCAGUUAAGUUAGACAUGAUGAAAGCUUAUGAUAGGGUGGAAUGGAGCUACCUCGAAGCAAUCCUCCUUAAAUUUGGCUUUGGCAUCAACUUAGUGAGAUUGAUCAUGAAGUGUGUCACUUCGGUUCGUUUCUCGGUACGGGUGAACGGUAAACAACUACCCUACUUGACGCCCACGUGUGGACUAAGGCAAGGUGAUCCUAUGUCACCCUACUUGUUUUUGCUGUGUGCAGAAGGUUUUUCUUCACUGUUGAAAUAUUAUGGGCAGAUUGAUAGAGGCAUUCGAGUCAGUUUCAGAGCUCCAUGGGUGAAUCAUUUGCUGUUCGCGGAUGAUAGCCUUAUUUUCAUGACAGCUGACAGUUAA
rnacentral:rRNA from 1 species